GGCUCGGAGAAAGAGUUUACAAAUCUACAGAUCCACUCGCCAUUGCAGAAACCUUCCUCCUCCUUCUCCUUCCACCGUAGACACCACCAAAGAUCUGAUGAUUGACGAUAGUAGGUCAGCGGCUCAGUCGCUAAUGGGAAGGUCUUGAAGUCACUGAUGAUGUAUCUAUUGUGGAGCACCUAAAACAUCCCGUAUACAUAACUGAAGGAUCUUACACCAAUGUCAAGGAAGUGAAAUUUGCUCUAUGAUCUUGAGGGGAAAGGUUACGACCCCUGAUGAUUUAUUACUUGCAGAAAGGAUAUUGAUUAUCAGCUCUUCAGAGACAUCGUUGUAAAAUUCACUCUUUUUGGCCCCUUUUUUUUUCCCCUCUUUGGGCAGAUCUAGGCUGGAAAACACAUUUUUAGUUCAUAAAUGAAAAGUAAAACAUGUUAUAAAAAUUUUGGCCCCUAUAUACAUCAUAUCAUAUCAUUAUUACCAUCAUCAUUACCUACUUUAUGAAAAUAACUUUUUUAUUUUUAAAAUUUUUAAACCUGGGAAAUAUAAAAAUACAUAUUAUAAAAAUUUUGAAAAAGAGAAAUGAUAGUAACUAACACACAACAACAAAUAUGUUACUGGAAUAUUUAAAGUUUCUUCCUCUUUCAUUGUUGAUGGAAAUGAGGCAACUUCCUGGAAAUGCUCAUCCUGAUCCAUCUCCAAGCUGU